CAGCCAGACCAGGAUACACAAACACUCAGCUCUCCCGCCUCCCAGCACACGCAACGUGCCCGUGACGUGGAACUGCAGGUUCUCCCCCACCCCUGUCCUCUAUGAGCUGAGCCGCGUUGCUCCACCACAUGCCCCCACCAUGAUGUUCCCCUCACCCGGACUCAGAGCCACGGAGCCGGCGACCACAGACUGAGGCCUCUGAAACCCGGGGCCCAAACACCCCUUUCUCAGGAAUGAAUUGCACUGAACUGGGGCCGUGUAUGUAGCUCAGUGGCAAAGCAUUUGCCUCGCCUGGCACGUGUGCGGUACUCCUGCCCCAGGCCUAAGAACUGUGAGGCCUCAUUCCUGUGAUUUAUCCAUCCUUUCUCAUACCCGAGUCCUGGAGGGAUUGAACAAUCUGAAAAUGACACACAGCAAAUCAAGAGCAGUUCUGCAUCAUGGAAGCAAUUUCAGGAGUGAGCCCAACAUCCCAGCGCUGUCCCACCUGCUCUGUGGCCUCCAGGAGACCCUGGAGUUCAGUCUGUGACCCUUACCUCAAACUGCUCCUUGGUGGCCUCGAUGAGAGGACACUCGACACCGGCUCGGUCCCCUUUUUCCACCUGAAGUGGAGGACACAUGCAGUUCCUGAGUCUCAGGGUCAGAAGCUUUCCCGAUGGAGACCAGAUCUGGUUCACCGCCAGUCUCUCAGGAGGACUCCAGGACCUACGCCAGGUCUCCUGGGCACCACCCCUGCCCCGUCCCUGUGGCUCCGCUGAGCGGACUGUUCCUUUGGGAACGGCUUGGUUAGGAGCAGGACUUGUAUGAGGGGUGGGAAGAGAGCCCACGGAGAAGGAAGCAGGCAGUGGAUGGAACUGAGGCCAAAUUGUCAGCCAAGACUUUCCAGGCUGGUGAGGAGCCAUGUGCUUCUUAAGUCUCCGGAAGUAGAACAGCGUUUUCAAUGCACAGCCAUUCUCCGCUACCACACAGGACGCUCCAACCACAGGAAGCAUGAAAGGAGUCAGACACACCCGCCCGGUGCUAUUAAUGUUCUGGGGAGCUGAGAGAGUUACGAAAGUCUGUGGGCCACCGAGGUCUGAGGAGGAGGGAGUGGAGAAGUCUGGGGAGACAGGGCGCUCAGGAAAAACAUGGAGUAAGAGGCAGCCCGGAGCGUGUGGGAAUGCAAGGAGGGACAGGGUUACACGGAGGCCCCGGACCCCUGUGGACCUGAUGGCAGGGAGGUAAGAGCCAGACCCCUGAGCUGAGAGAGCGGUAACAGGAAGAAAUAUUCACCGGACAUCCACCGAGUG